UGGGGAAUAUUGCACAAUGGGCGCAAGCCUGAUGCAGCCAUGCCGCGUGUGUGAAGAAGGCCUUCGGGUUGUAAAGCACUUUCAGCGAGGAGGAAGGGUGGUGUGUUAAUAGCGCAUCACAUUGACGUUACUCGCAGAAGAAGCACCGGCUAACUCCGUGCCAGCAGCCGCGGUAAUACGGAGGGUGCAAGCGUUAAUCGGAAUUACUGGGCGUAAAGCGCACGCAGGCGGUUUGUUAAGUCAGAUGUGAAAUCCCCGCGCUUAACGUGGGAUCUGCAUUUGAAACUGGCAAGCUAGAGUCUUGUAGAGGGGGGUAGAAUUCCAGGUGUAGCGGUGAAAUGCGUAGAGAUCUGGAGGAAUACCGGUGGCGAAGGCGGCCCCCUGGACAAAGACUGACGCUCAGGUGCGAAAGCGUGGGGAGCAAACA
rnacentral:rRNA from 1 species